UGCAUUUUACAAAAAAAAUACUAUUUCAGUCUUUCUAAACUUCAAAAUUUCACGUUUAAUUCAGUGUGUUACUUGCGACACCAAAUUCUUUUUAAGCGUAGCGUCACACACUGGACAUAUCAUCUUGAGAGUGUCACGAAACACGCAAGCAACGUAAAAUAAUUAUGCAGAAGUGUCGCCACAUGCACGGUUUACCAACGUGUACAUGUUAGUUGUGUUAUUUUGUUUGGUAAUCAAUGUUAUUCUCUUUCACAGGCCUCGUGUUCACCCGUGCGAGAAGGAGCCAGAAAAUAAAGAGGCUGGAGAGGCCGAGCAACAUCACUGACCAUAAACAGAGCGAGCUGUGAAUUUCCGUCAUGAAUAUUUAUGAAGACGUGUGACCCGGGGCAGGAUGUAGACCGAGUGCUAUCCCAGCAUGCCCUGCUGUGAGGGAAGUUGAUCAGAUCAUCAUGUGUCCUCGUGUGAACAACAGAAAAGAGAGCUGUAAAAUGGUGCCUGGUCCACGUCGCCGCUUCCAAGAACUGGGGAAGACAAUGGAAGACACCCUGAAAGAGACACAGAGACAUGAAACGUGUAAGACUGAACAAGAAGUGCCUGGUUGCAUUAGGGAAAUAAACACUGUGUUAAAUGCCUGUCUACAAUGCAAGACGCCUGGUUUCAGCACAUUUAUAAGGCAGGACUGCAUGUAUGCUUUGCAGAGGAGGCAAUCCCAGAAUGCAUUGUGACAAGGUCCAGGAAAAAAUAUCUCUGAUAUGGCAGACUAGUUGUGAGAAAUGUCAUUAUAGUGAAAUUUUAUUUCAUUCUAUACUGAGAUAUGUUGAUAAACUAAUCAGAUUAAUCCGUUUUAAAUAAAAACAAAAGAUUUUA